UGUUUACUUCAUACAUAGGCUAUAUGUUCACAUGCCGUGACUCAGGUUGCAAAGCCAUGGCCAGCUACAGCAGUAAUAUGAUGAGGUGUGCACUAGCGAUAUUCCUAGCUAUCCUGGUGCUACAAGUCAGAAGCAGAAAGCCAAAUAUCGUUCUGAUGAUUGCAGACGACUUGGGGUACGGAGAUGUCGGCUGCUUCGGAAACUCGACGCUGCGGACGCCGCACAUUGACAGCCUGGCCGCGGACGGAGCCAAGCUGACUCAGCACCUGACAGCCUCCAGUCUCUGCUCUCCUAGUAGGGCAGCGAUGUUGACAGGUCGCUACCCGGUUCGAUCAGGAAAAUGGCAUCUUGGCUGGAGUAAAGACCGACUGUCCGAUUUUGCACAUCAUCCAAUGAAACACGGAUUUGACUAUUUUUACGGGCUUCCUCUCACAAACAUCAAGGAUUUUGGGUCUGAGGGGGAACGCCUAAUGAAGUCCGUUGACCCAUACAUUUAUUACCGCAUACUGAGCAUCUUCCUGGUGAUGUUCAUCACAGCAUCAUGUCUAUACAAAUCUAACAACAUCGGAAUCCUCUUUUUUCUCUUGAUUCUGUUCACAAUCACAGCUGUUUUCGGUCUCCUUUACUUUGUUACUGACAAUUUCAAACUGUUAAACAGCCAGAUUUACCGCGAGUACGACAACGUGGAACAACCUAUUGACUUGGAGACGCUGAUGCGAAAGCUGGUCAUUGAAGGUCAGGAGUUUCUGGAGGAAAGAAGCAAAGACGACGCUCCCUUUUUGUUGGUCAUGUCGUGGACACAUGUCCAUACAUACCUGCACCCGGCGAAAAGAUUUGGUGGCAAGAGUCGACAUGGGACAUACGGUGACUCGGUCGAGGAACUGGACUGGGCUGUGGGCGAAAUAUUGAAGUCCUUGGAACAACUUGGGUUCAAGGACAACACCAUGGUAUAUUUUACAUCGGAUAACGGAGGUCACUUGGAGGAAAGAAACAAACACGGAGAGCCUCAUGGUGGCUACAACGGGAUCCUAAGGGGCGGUAAAGCCCACGGUACAGUGGAUGGAGGUAUCCGGGUGCCCACAGUGAUGAGGUGGCCUGGUCACAUCACACCAGGAACAGUGGUGGACGAACCAACCAGCCUCAUGGACGUCUUGCCCACGGUUGCCAAGGCGAUGGGAGCGUCAGUACCAGACGACCGCCAGUUGGAUGGCUACGAUCUCUUGCCGCUACUCCAGAAACAAACCCUAGUGUCUUCACACGAGUUCAUGUUUCAUUACUGCGGUACGGAGGUCCAUGCUGUGCGGUACAGACCACGUGAAGGUUUUGGGUGCCUUGAAGCGGUCAUUGUUCUUUGACUGAUAUGGCUACAUGCUACACGAAUAUAGGGAGUCAUCAUUCCAUGUAUGGAUAUCCAAUUGGUCAAUUUGGCUUGUGAUGUAGGGGUGGGAAGAGAAUGGUUUUUCAUGAGUUGGAGAAAACAGCAGCGAAAUCACGAGCGCUUUAAAGAGAACGUAAACCUCCUUUGUAAAUCCGUUUGGAAGCUGGCUUUAAAAGAACCACCUUACCUUCCUGGACAGGAUGUUUGUAUGUUCAUAUGCCAUUGCGCAAACUCGAUAACACUCGAUCCACCUUAUCUCUACGAUAUGACGUCAGACCCAGGA
rnacentral:misc_RNA from 1 species